rnacentral:rRNA from 1 species
GACGAACGCUGGCGGCGUGCUUAACACACGCAAGUCGAACGGAAAGGCCCUGCUUUUGUGGGGUGCUCGAGUGGCGAACGGGUGAGUAACACGUGAGUAACCUGCCCUUGACUUUGGGAUAACUUCAGGAAACUGGGGCUAAUACCGGAUAGGAGCUCCUGCUGCAUGGUGGGGGUUGGAAAGUUUCGGCGGUUGGGGAUGGACUCGCGGCUUAUCAGCUUGUUGGUGGGGUAGUGGCUUACCAAGGCUUUGACGGGUAGCCGGCCUGAGAGGGUGACCGGCCACAUUGGGACUGAGAUACGGCCCAGACUCCUACGGGAGGCAGCAGUGGGGAAUAUUGCACAAUGGGCGGAAGCCUGAUGCAGCAACGCCGCGUGCGGGAUGACGGCCUUCGGGUUGUAAACCGCUUUCGCCAGUGACGAAGCGUGAGUGACGGUAAUGGGUAAAGAAGCACCGGCUAACUACGUG